rnacentral:rRNA from 1 species
UGAAUACGAGACGCUAAGGCGUCGAAGUAGUGUAUGUCAUACUUCCAAGAAAAGCUUGCACUGUCAUAAGUAAAAAAUGCCUGUACCAUAACCGACACAGGUGGGUAGGUAGAGUAUACUAAGGGGCGCGAGAUAACUCUCUCUAAGGAACUCGGCAAAAUAACUCCGUAACUUCGGGAGAAGGAGUACCUUAUUCUAUAAGGUUGCAAUAACAAGAUCCAAGCAACUGUUUAUCAAAAACACAGGUCUCCGCUAAGUCGUAAGACGAUGUAUGGGGGCUGACGCCUGCCCAGUGCCAGAAGGUUAAAGAAGUCGGUUAGCAUUAGCGAAGCUGGUAACUGAAGCCCUGGUGAACGGCGGCCGUAACAAUAACGGUCCUAAGGUAGCGAAAUUCCUUGUCGGGUAAGUUCCGACCCGCACGAAAGGCGUAAUGAUUUGGAUACUGUCUCGGAGAGGGGCUCGGUGAAAUAGACUUGUCUGUGAAGAUGCGGACUACCUGCACCAGGACAGAAAGACCCUAUGAAGCUUUACUGUAACUUGAAAUUGAAAUUGGACUUUAUUCGCGCAGUAUAGGUGGGAGGUGUUGAUUAUAAUCUUGCGGGAUUAUUGGAGCCAUCAGUGAGAUACCACUCUUGUAAUGUUAGAUCUCUAACUUUGAAUCAUUAUCUGGUCAAAGGACAGUUUCAGGCGGGCAGUUUGACUGGGGCGGUCGCCUCCCAAACGGUAACGGAGGCGUACAAAGGUUUCCUCUGAACGGGUAGAAAUCGUAUCUAGAGUGUAAAGGCAUAAGGAAGCUUGACUGUGAGACCUACAAGUCGAACAGGGACGAAAGUCGGUCUUAGUGAUCUGACGGUACUGAGUGGAAAGGCCGUCACUCAACGGAUAAAAGUUACUCUAGGAUAACAGGCUGAUCUCCCCCAAGAGUUCACAUCGACGGGGAGGUUUGGCACCUCGAUGUCGGCUCAUCGCAUCCUGGGGCGGUAGUACGUCCCAAGGGUUGGGCUGUUCGCCCAUGAAAGCGGUACGCGAGCUGGGUUCAGAACGUCGUGAGACAGUUCGGACCAUAUCCGGUGUAGGCGUUAGAAUAUUGAGAGGAGCCUUCUUUAGUACGAGAGGACCGAGAAGGACAUACCUCUGGUGUACCAGUUAUCGUGCCAACGGUAAACGCUGGGUAGCUAUGUAUGGAGUGGAUAACCGCUGAAAGCAUCUAAGUGGGAAGCCCACCUCAAGAUAAGUAUUCU